rnacentral:lncRNA from 1 species
ACCUUAUCGGUCUCUUCCUUACAGCAAUUCAGUCAUACCAAUAAUUGUUAUUUCCAUCAAUAUAUUCACCCUCAUAAUCUCCAACUGUAAUACUGCGCCCUCACAGCUUUCAGCACACAAUUUUCUUCGUUCCAAUCACUGGAAUUCUUCACAUAGAACUGCCAUUCACAUUACAAUGUUUCACACAAACACAGACUCAUUCUCUCUGCUGAACUACAAUCAGAUUUCAGCAUUCAAUCUUUCUUCUUCUCAAGUAAUACCAAUCACAUUUCCAUUCCAUAAUUCACUUCACAAUAUUCAGAAACUCUCAAUCCUCUUAUUCAAAGAAAAUAACAAACAAAAGAAAAGAGGUAGCACCAAGCUUAUCCCGGCUCACAACU